GAUGAACGCUGGCGGCGUGUCUAAUACAUGCAAGUCGAGCGAACAGACGAGGAGCUUGCUCCUCUGACGUUAGCGGCGGACGGGUGAGUAACACGUGGAUAACCUACCUAUAAGACUGGGAUAACUUCGGGAAACCGGAGCUAAUACCGGAUAAUAUAUUGAACCGCAUGGUUCAAUAGUGAAAGACGGUUUUGCUGUCACUUAUAGAUGGAUCCGCGCCGCAUUAGCUAGUUGGUAAGGUAACGGCUUACCAAGGCAACGAUGCGUAGCCGACCUGAGAGGGUGAUCGGCCACACGGGAACUGAGACACGGUCCAGACUCCUACGGGAGGCAGCAGUAGGGAAUCUUCCGCAAUGGGCGAAAGCCGGACGGAGCAACACCGCGUGAGUGAUGAAGGUCUUCGGAUCGUAAAACUCUGUUAUUAGGGAAGAACAAAUGUGUAAGUAACUAUGCACGUCUUGACGGUACCUAAUCAGAAAGCCACGGCUAACUACGUG
rnacentral:rRNA from 1 species